GAUGAACGCUGGCGGCGUGCCUAAUACAUGCAAGUCGAGCGAACGGACGAGAAGCUUGCUUCUCUGAUGUUAGCGGCGGACGGGUGAGUAACACGUGGAUAACCUACCUAUAAGACUGGGAUAACUUCGGGAAACCGGAGCUAAUACCGGAUGAUAUUUUGAACCGCAUGGUUCAAAAGUGAAAGACGGUCUUGCUGUCACUUAUAGAUGGAUCCGCGCUGCAUUAGCUAGUUGGUAAGGUAACGGCUUACCAAGGCAACGAUGCAUAGCCGACCUGAGAGGGUGAUCGGCCACACUGGAACUGAGACACGGUCCAGACUCCUACGGGAGGCAGCAGUAGGGAAUCUUCCGCAAUGGGCGAAAGCCUGACGGAGCAACGCCGCGGGAGUGAUGAAGGUCUUCGGAUCGUAAAACUCUGUUAUUAGGGAAGAACAUAUGUGUAAGUAACUGUGCACAUCUUAACGGUACCUAAUCAGAAAGCCACGGCUAACUACGU
rnacentral:rRNA from 1 species